AUGACCAGGAAUAUGGCUGUUCCUAGGUAGGUCGUAUGGAUUCUGGAUAUAGCUGGAGUUGGGACCACGGCCUUCUUGGACCACACUGACUGUGGGCUCUAAGGAAUAUAGUGAAAAAUGAGUUCAGAGAACAGAUUAGCUUUGGUUGUCAUGUUGGGGGGAAGAGAGUUCUAUUUAACUGGGUGGUGAGAGAAGCCAGGGAUUUAUAAAUCUGUGAUAAAUAUGAGGGUUAGGACUAAUGCUAAGAGAUGGAAAACAUAAGUGAGUGUGCUGUCAGAAUCCCAUCCAAAGCUUGGUCAAAACCAGAGAUUUAGAAUGUCUUAAAUAUUUAGAAUGGGUGGGUCCUUAAUUGUGGCGUAAGGUUUUCACUGCUAUUCUUAGCACUGAGCCCAGGAACAUGGGUUAAACUGGGAGAAAAUAGAAGGUGGUGAUUUAGAAAGUUAAUAAAUAUUCUGUUCUGAUUGUUUUCUUUUUUAAACUGGGAUUUGUAUCAACAAUCAGUUGAGGUGUAUGUGUGUGUACCCACUUCCCACCCCCAGGAUUUCUGCGUCAUACUAGUCCUGGUAUGUUUCUUUUUUUAAAGCAGAGUUGGCACAAGAAUUUGAUUUUCUGCAUGAGAGAGGAGGGUAGUCCUGGGGAAGGCAGUUCGCCUUGGAUUCCUUAAAAAGCAAUAAAAAACAAAACGUGUGUUUUCAAGACAGGAUGUCGACAAGGAUGGCACAUCUGUGUACGGAGACCCCCUGUGCACAGGCGACUUCAUUUCUACAUAGCUGCUUUCUGGAAGCUUGCAGGUGUGUAGGAGACGCGGGGAGCCAGGUCGCGGUCCUUCUCUUUCUGCCGGCGUCGGCGCCAGGCAAAAAGGCCCAGCAGCAUCACAAUGAGGAACAACAGGAGGACAAUGCCUGUGACAGCACCCACCGAGUGCCGCUCUGCACCCAGCGCUGGGCUGAUCUUGGUGUAGGGAUUCAGCUCCUCCAUCAUGAGGGCGGCUGUGGGCGGAGGGAGGGCCUCAGCUGGGGCGCCUGCUGGCUUUUCAGAUCUCUGUGGGACCUGGACUCCUAACACUAGGAGGCUUGGUUUUGGUCCUGGCCCUGGUCUUUAAUUCCCGUGAGCCCAACCCCUUACUGUGCCUAUUUCUUCAACUGCCUAAAGUGAGUGGAGUCCUAGAGAACUCCCCAGGGACAAAUGUGAUCGUGGAUCGGAAACAAAACAAUGUUUGAAUAUUUUACUCUUCUUCAAAAAAUAAGUUAGAUAAUAACUCAUUUAACCUUCCCAGCAGCCUGGUGAAAUAAGGACUGUUUAAUUCUUUCUCUUUCACAAAUGGAGAAACUGAGUCACUGAAAGGUUAGGUAAGUUGCCCAAGAUCAACCAGUAAUUGGUAGUGUCAGGUUUCUCAUGAGUUGGAAAAACUGGACUCAGCCCCUCUCCCUGCUUACUAGCUGUGUUUCUUAGAUGUGACUUAGAGAGUCCUCAGUUGGCUCAGUAAUUGCACCCUCUGCAGGGGACUGUGAGCACCCCUGACAGACUGACAAUGACAGCUGUGAGAGCUGUACCAGUGUGCCCAUGAUUACUUCCCACAAAACCCCUCUUGAUGUAUGUAUGGGCUAACCCCCAUCAGAAUGCAGUGUGCAUGGUUUUGGUCCCUUUUCUGUCAUGUGGCUAACUGAGCCCAUUCUUCUCCCCCAUUUCCUUAGAACCAAUAGCAAUAGAACUCACUACCUGUUUGCAGCACUUUAUAUAGGGGUCUUAUGUAUACAAAACCAUUUCUCAAGGGCUCACAUUAUCUCAACUUGGUCGUCCCAACUGCCCUAUGGGGGUCUUCGGACUGUAGACCUGGAGCCAAGGCUGAGCACCUUCGGGUUCCUUGGCUCUCAGUGGAACAUCGUGCCAUGAAGGAAGACAAGGGCUAAUCUAAUCUACUCUUUCCACUUUGCAUGUGGAGUAACAGGCCCAAUAAAAGGAAAUGACCUGCCCAAGGACACCUAGCAGGUUGGCAGACCAGAAUUUGGCAGGUCUUCAGAUGGCCUGGUACUUUCCCCAGCGCUAGCUUGUGGUUACCCUUGCUUGGCUCACAGGAAGCUUGCCAAGGAUGGGCACCGUGAAGCUGAGGCUGCCUGCUCCAUCUGCUCUCCAGCAUCUGGAACCUCCGCACCCACCUUACUCCCCCUCUCUGCCCAAAGGUGAAUAA